UUUCCUUUUCCUUUUCCUUUUUCUUUUCUUUUUCUUCUUUUUCUUUUCUUUUUCUUUUCUUUUCCUUCUUCUUCUUUUCUUUUUUUUCUUCUCCCGUGGGUUCUUUUGGGCCAAAACAGGGGAUCGUGAGGUCCCCUUGUUGGUUGGCCGGUCGGCGGCGCAACCGGCGUGGGGCGGCCAUCGACAGGAGGGGAGACGAUCCGGCGGCAAGAGGAGGCCAAACCGGUGGUCGGCGGUGACCACCGACGUCGGAAUCAAAGGAAAACGGUCAAAAAAUGAAGGUUACUUUCGCAACAAAAUUCGGUGACUCCGGUCGCCGGUGAGCAUGCACAUCAGCACGGAAAGGAAGGGGGA
rnacentral:lncRNA from 1 species